rnacentral:rRNA from 1 species
GGCGGACUGGUGAGUAACGCGUGGAUGACGUACCCUCGUGACUGGGAUAGCCGGUAGAAAUACCGGAUAAUACCGGAUAAGGUCUCACGGAAUAAAGGCGUGAGAGGAAAGCAGCGUAUGCUGCGCAGGAGGAACGGUCUGCGACCUAUCAGCUAGUUGGCAGGGUAAAGGCCUACCAAGGCGACGACGGGUAUCCGGCCUGAGAGGGUGGACGGACACAUUGGGACUGAGAUACGGCCCAGACUCC